rnacentral:snRNA from 1 species
UACCUAGGCAGCAGGACAUAUACUAAAAUUGGAACAAUACAGAGAAGAUUAGCAUGGCUCCUGUGCAAGGAUGACACACAAAUUUAUGAAGUGUUCCAUAUUUUU